rnacentral:rRNA from 1 species
UACGUAGGGGGCAAGCGUUGUCCGGAAUCAUUGGGCGUAAAGCGCGUGUAGGCGGCUUGGUAAGUCUGCUCUGAAAGCCCGGGGCUCAACCCCGGGAGGCGGGUGGAUACUGUCAAGCUCGAGUCCGGAAGAGGAGUGUGGAAUUCCGGGUGUAGUGGUGAAAUGCGUAGAGAUCCGGAGGAACACCAGUGGCGAAGGCGACACGCUGGGCCGUACCUGACGCUAAAGCGCGACAGCAUGGGGAGCAAACGGG